UCGUCUCGAUGACUUUUCAACUAACUCUUUAUUUAACUUUUUGAUUAGCAGAUUCAUAAUAUUAUUAUUUGAUUUUACAUAAUCAACAGAGAUAACUCUAAUUGAAAGUAUUGUCUUAUGAUAUUAUGUCUACAAUGUAUGUCUAGACUUACUAUUACACAUAUUGUUAUGUGCCAUACAAAUUGGAAAUUGAGAAUAACAAUGAAUGAAAUUGCUAGCAUAGGCUUUGGCCAUCUAGAAAUAUCCUCUAAAAAUUUAUGUAGCCAUUCAAACUUAAUCCAUUACCCAACUAAAACAGCUCCAUUUCAUUUACACAUAGAGAGAAGCCGAGAGCUAGGAGAAAAGAAAGAGGAAAGAGGAAAGAAAGGAAAAAAAAAAAAAGAAGGAAGAAGAAGAAGGAAAAAAAAAAAAAGGAAAUUUCGACAAGGGGGUUUAAAAAUAAGUGAUUUCUAGUAUUAAACUUGAAUUCCUCAAUUUUGAAAGGUAACUAAAAAAAAUAAUUAAUUAUUUUUAAGUUAUGUUUAAUUUUAUAGUUGUUAGAUUUUUAGAUUAAAUUCAAUUUUAUUGAAGGGAUUAAGUAUAAUAAAUUAUGAAAUUGAGUAAGAUGAAAGAAAAAUUAAUUUUAGUGAUUAAAGAGACUUUAGAAAUCGCUUAAAUGUGAAAUGAUUAAAUUUGGGUAUCGUCUAUUUAAUUAUUGAAAUUAUUUAAAUAAUUAAUUAAUUAUUUAAAAAUUAUAUCGUAUUUCAGGCAACGAUACUAACAUCAGAACAGUUUACCAACUGGGUUGAUUUUGCAAACAUAGUACUGUGAGUGGAAAAAUAUAAAUAUUUUUAAAGUAUUUAUAAAUUAAGUAUAUUAUCAAAAUAUGUGCAAUUAUGUGUUUGAUUCUAUGAUUAUUAUGAAAAUCUCUUUUAUUAUGAUACAUGUGGAAUUUCAAGGUUUAUUUAUUGUACAUAUGUGACUUGGUAUGUAAGACAUGUGAUAUUAAGAUUUAUUUGGUAUCUGAGAUGUGACAUUGAGAUUGACCAGAAUAGUAUCCGUGAUUAUGUACUUUUUCUAGUUCACAGAGGGGUCUUGGCCGUGUUCUAUACUAAAUUGAGGGGUCUUGGACAGGGGAUGAAGGGGUCUCGACAUACUAGGGGUCUUGGCCAUGUUCUAGAAUUGAUUAUGAGAGGUCUUUGAGACCGACUUUCGUUCACGGAGAGGCAAAAUGCUCGUGGCGAAAGUUCUUGGCCCGAGGAACGAAUUACAUAUUUUAAUCAGAGGGUACAUUUUUGGUGGAUUUUUCAGUACAUUUGAUGUGAUGAGAUUAUAGCAUGAUUACCAGCUUAUAUUUAUAUCAUGACUUGAGAUGAUAUUUUACCACGCUCUAUGAAUGUCUCGCUUUUUGACUAUAAUUAUAUGAUGUUAUCUUGCGAGUUAUCAGUGAUAUGAACUUGAUUUUCGAUAAAAAUGUAAAAAUGAAAAAAUAUAAUUAUUUUCGAACUUCUCCACUUACUGAGCUAUCAACUCAUAUAUUUUCCCGUAAUUUUCCUACAGGUGGAAAUUGAUUCUUUUUAGUUGGAAGAGCCUGAUGAUUUCAAAAUGAGAGCUACACGACAUAUUGAGUGUUAUAACUCAUUUUGAUGAAGGGUCCAUCGCAUCAUAUUUUACAUAAGCAUUUGAUUUUGUUGCAUUUUUUGAAAUAACUCAUAGUCAGUCUUGGUGAUAGAUUUGACAUCUUGUUAGCAUCUAUCAUCGGCGCACAUCACAUUUUGGGUCCACUAGGAUGAUUCGGCACGGGUCGUGUCAAAACCUCUGCACUAUAUUUGUCCAUGGCUAUAAAC
rnacentral:lncRNA from 1 species